CUGUAAUGAUGAGCUUAGGACACCUUUGUAUCGAUAAUGAAACAAAAUUGAACCUUUACUGAACAGC